rnacentral:lncRNA from 1 species
GCGUAUAGUUUUUUGAGGCAAAGUUUACGCAAGAAAUUAUUCGAUUUUCAUAUCCACGUUCGAAGGUAUGUAUAUAUUCAACAGUACAUAUAUCUCUUCUAAUGUAAAUUUGCUUAUUUCGUGGAAUGUCCAUUCAAGGUUUUCUAACAUUUGAUUAUCUCUUCUCAUGUAGUCCUUUCGACAGUUUGUUGUUGACGUUGUUGCAUAUACCAGUAAAUUGUAUCAUACGAACGCGGAACGCCACGACUUUAUAGUCCGAAUGUAAGUAUAUAUUUUGCUGUUUGGUUAUAUGUUUUUACUGUAUUGCUGUCUUGUCAGUUGACCUUUGAUAUUUUCCUUUAAUAAACGAGACAUUUUAAACACAAUAGUAGAGCUUACAUGGCAUGGACACAGCAUGAUACAUUUUUUCGAAAGGGCAUGUCCUAAAAACCGGUAAAUAGUUUAUACAUUGCAUUACAAUAAAAUGGAUUCUUAAUCUGAGUAUUAUCGUAUUUUAAAUGCAUACGUUCAACAUGUUUGCUGCAUAUUAUUAUAGACUCGUUUUUGAUCAUAAACAUUCCUGUAACAUGAGAACUAUAGGGAAAUUUGAAAUUAAGGCCCUUAUAGUUUGAAUAAUUUUGUGUUUGUUUUUCCAAGAUGCUAAAUAACGUAUGGCUGUUGUUACACAAUCAUUUAUGAAUUCGUUCCAUUGAAUCUUUUCCAACAGGAAAACCAAUAGCGUAUUGGAAAAUUUGCGCGACUUUUAUAUUUCAGAGCACGAUCGAAUCCGUUGAGUCAGUGAAAUGUCUGUUUCUAACAUGCAAAUUGUUUGCACUUUUAGAAAACGGUUGAUGCGUCUGCAGAUGAAGAUGGCCAAAAUAAAGAGCUAGUGACUCGAGUCUGUUGCACGAAAGUAUAACGUUCUUUUAUGCCGGUUUUCCACUAGCGAAUUUCUUCGUGCGAAACGAUAUUUAUAUGGUUAAAAUUUAAAAGACUUUAUUAUAAGGUGAUAAGUAAUUUUACAUAAGUUUCAGCUGACUGAGCAGAGAGCUCAUAAGACAAAAAAAUAUACAAUAUAGUCCGUUCGUGCGUCAAAAUUCACUUUAGC